CCCGUGCCCAGCGCUGACAGCAACAGGCUGCGCAGCUGCAGCCCAGCAAGGAGGCACUCAGCGUGUCAGAGCCAUGCAGGGCUUCCACAGGGGCUCCCGGCUGCUGGCUGCACUGCUGCGGGCACCGAGGGUCCCCCGGGCCGGGGUCACCUCCAAGCCACCCGAGCACCCCGUCUCUCCUGCUGAGCAAGCCAUCGCAAUGACUGUGAUGUUCACGUGCCUGCUGGGGCCCGCAGCCUGGGUCCUGGCCAAUGUGGAGCACUACAAGAGCAGAGCAGACUGAGGAGCAGCCACAACCCCUCUGAGAGUAGAACUGAGAUCACACAAUGGGUCUUCACCCAGGGAAGAACCCUCUGAGCGUGUUCAUUAAAACUCACGUUGGCAUGAAA